rnacentral:lncRNA from 1 species
GGUUUUCAAAUAACGUGUCAUCUUGGUUUUAGCCCUCCAAAAGUUGACUCAAAGAACUAGGGUGCAGAGUGUUGGUCUGGGGUGAUCCCAGGAAAAACUGGAGUGGAAAAUAAGAUGAGGAAGAGGAAACAGUGAAUAAAGGGAGUGUGACUGUGUCGGUUAUUUUUGCUGUGUAACAAAUAACCCUCCCAAACUAGUGGUGGAAAACAAUAAUAAUUCUUUUCAUUAUUUCUAUGUCUCAGGAAUGAAAACAGUAAGGGAAGAUCAACUCUGUUGCACAAUGUCUGGGCCCCAGCUGGAAAACCCAAAAGCUGGGGCUGGCAACCCAUGAGCACCCCGGGCAGCUGGUGCUGGCUGCCUGUUGGGCGCCUGGCUGUGCUGACCGCUGAACCCCACAUAUGGCCUGCAGGACACACACUUGGAACAGACUGCAGCUGCCGGAGGACGCUGUCAGGCGGAGCUGUCACCUUGUGAGGCCGGAUGGGACACGAAGGAGCAGGGACACUCUCCCAUGUGAAAAUGGAUCAUUGAUGACCACGGCUCUGUCCGUCUGCGCCAGGAGCUGCUCGGGCCACACUGUACAGAACAGAGCAGGCAGCACUGUGGGGCUCACAAAGCCAGGGUUGCCAGGCAGCCAGCAGGUGAGUACAGGCUCAUGGGGGACA